rnacentral:rRNA from 1 species
CCUACGGGAGGCAGCAGUGGGGAAUUUUGGACAAUGGACGAAAGUCUGAUCCAGCAAUGCCGCGUGCAGGACGAAGGCCUUCGGGUUGUAAACUGCUUUUGUACGGAACGAAACGGCCUGCUUUAAUACAGUGGGCUAAUGACGGUACCGUAAGAAUAAGCACCGGCUAACUACGUGCCAGCAGCCGCGGUAAUACGUAGGGUGCGAGCGUUAAUCGGAAUUACUGGGCGUAAAGCGUGCGCAGGCGGUUAUAUAAGUCAGAUGUGAAAUCCCCGGGCUCAACCUGGGACCUGCAUUUGAGACUGUAUAGCUAGAGUACGGUAGAGGGGGAUGGAAUUCCGCGUGUAGCAGUGAAAUGCGUAGAUAUGCGGAGGAACACCGAUGGCGAAGGCAAUCCCCUGGACCUGUACUGACGCUCAUGCACGAAAGCGUGGGGAGCAAACAGGAUUAGAUACCCUGGUAGUCCACGCCCUAAACGAUGUCAACUGGUUGUUGGGUCUUCACUGACUCAGUAACGAAGCUAACGCGUGAAAGUUGACCGCCGNGGGAGGUACGGUCCGGCGAGGUUAGUUAAACGUACGAAAGUUAGUAAGUUAGACGGCGUGAGACGUUGCCGACGGACGACGACGAGGGAGGAGG